rnacentral:rRNA from 1 species
CAGUAGCCGCGGUAAUACGUAGGUGGCAAGCGUUGUCCGGAAUUAUUGGGCGUAAAGGGCUCGCAGGCGGUUUCUUAAGUCUGAUGUGAAAGCCCCCGGCUCAACCGGGGAGGGUCAUUGGAAACUGGGAAACUUGAGUGCAGAAGAGGAGAGUGGAAUUCCACGUGUAGCGGUGAAAUGCGUAGAGAUGUGGAGGAACACCAGUGGCGAAGGCGACUCUCUGGUCUGUAACUGACGCUGAGGAGCGAAAGCAUGGGGAGCGAACAGGAUUAGAUACCCCUGUAGUCCCUGUCUCUUAUAC